rnacentral:lncRNA from 1 species
AUUCUAAAGAUUCCUUGUGAUUAGAGCUAUAUUCAUCAGUCUUAGAGUAUACUUUUACGAUCAGUCAUCUCUUAUUUGAUCUUCACUUUAUCUUCGUGACUCGUGAAAUAGAGCUUUUACGAUCUGCUUUACGCUCAACUCUACAAUCAGCUUGAGCAAACCUUGCAAACUCCUCUUUUACUCUGAUAGCUCUUCGGCAGCUUUACGAUUCUCGUACCAAGG